AAUGCAACCGUAUUUGAAACUGUCGCACAAGCCAAAAGACGCGUUUGAUGCGUACAUCCGAUCAAUUGAGAAAGAUCCGUCAGCGAUUUGGCAACAAGUUAGGGAUGCGGUUGAGUCAGUCUAUUUAACGCGAUUAGAUGCAAUACUUCCUUACGUGUACAAGUACAAGCACAUAAAUAAUUUUUUUGAACUUCUUCGGUUCGAUUUCAUCUUGGAUGAAAAUUUCAAGGUGUACUUAUUGGAGGCUAACAUGUCUCCUAAUCUGUCGUCUGUGAAAAACUCAGAAAACGGAAUUCGUCAUGACCAAACUUUAUUCAGCACUCUUUCUCUUGUUGGAAUUUCCAACUUCUUCACGCCUUUAUUCCAAAAUGAAAAUCGAUCGAGAGAAAUGGAGGUGUCCAAAAGGAAUAUUAUGGUUUAUCCAGAGCAUUGCUUGAAAUGCACAGACUGCAGCUCUAUUAAUUGUCAACUGUGCGAGCCUUGCAUGACAGAAGAGCUGCUCAACGACAUAAAAGCCACAUACAGGGAGCAUAAAAAUAAGUACAGGUUUAAACGGCUGUUUCCUCCU